UGACACACCGGGGACACAAUUAUGUAUAAAAGACAUCAAAAAGUGAACACUGUUAGCAUUAGACUCAGGAGGUAAAGUACUGUACUGACUCAAUGAAUCUAUUCAUUAAAAUAAAUUGCAAUAAUUUAUCAAAUUGGAAUUAGGCCACUGCAUUGCUAACAAUACCGUUUUAGCUAGCUUACAUUCUUUUUAAAAAUGUAAUAGAAUUAUUUGUAUCCCCUAUGUAGUUAAAAUACAUUAAUAUUGCCAAUAUUGUACAUUAACUUAGUACAUCAUUCCCUGAAGAUAUGUGACAAUAUUUGUGCACAGUUUGUGAAAAUACUUGCAAUAUUUAAGAUGAAAUGUAAAUAUGAUGUACAAUAUAAGAAUCACAAUAUUCACUACUAUGAGGGCCAUAAGGGGGUGUGUUACCUGUUACCUUUCUUAAAGAGGUUUUUGUACUUUUAGUCUUUCAAUAUUGUGCUUACAUUUCAUACAUUAAUAUUGUUAACAUAAGGCUACCAGGUAAAAGUCCAGCACAUUUUUACUACUAUGACAAACCAAAAAGUCUGCAAUGUAAAAGGUCUAUCCUGUUUUAAUGCACUUGUUAAAUCCUAACAUGAGUGUGUGUUGUUGCAAUGUGAUGUUCCCGUCCUCCAGACAGGAAGGAGAGUCUCCUUACGCCAGGCAGAGGGAGCCAGGAGGCCUGCAGGCUGCAGACGGUAUCCAGGCUGCAGGGAAGAGCACAUUAAUUAAAUUGUACAGAAUGUAAUCCGCAAGAUCCUUUUAUUUUGACCAAGCAAUCCUCUGCAGAGUAUCUGAUGUGUUCCUCUUUUGAGAGUAUAAAAGUAUGUUGUUCAGUGAGAUCUUUACUGGAUCCUGACUCUCUCUUGUGUGUUGCUGUCAAUCUCCAGGUGCCAACUUUAACCCAAAAGCACCGGCACCCUUCUGCUGCUGCAGACCUUCCCAAGAAAAGGAAGCAGACCUCCAGGGCCCCUCCUUCCAAACAUGCUAACCUGCCACCUGUUGCUACUGUGGCCCCCAGACCUCCACUGCUCCACUGCACCACAACACACCUGUCAACAUACACAACCGCUCACUAGAAGAGUUCCAGCGCAUCUACCAUGGAGUUGUGGCAACACAUAGAUAUAAAACACAUUUUCGAAAUCACUUAGAAAUCCAUCUCUUAGGUUUUCAUUCAUCCAAAACAUUUAUUUAGCUUUUUCUUCAACUGCUCACAGGUUCUCAAGCCUCAGCCUCUGUCAGUAAAUAUCCUGUUGCCACGUGGAGACCUCAGUGUAAGGCAAGGAUCAAAGACACACAUGUAUGUAUAUGUGCAAACACACAUCAACUGAAACCUGACUGACUGUGAUGCUAAACUUCAUCAACCAGAAGGAGCUCCUCUUCCUCAUUCGCCUUUGAACGCAAGACUUUAUUGGACUUCCACAUCUACUGUACCAGGACCUGAUCCAAGAUUCCUUCUACAGCUGGUGUGAUCCAGAGAUUUUUUGUUUUUGAGUUUGCCAGCAGACCUCUUUUCUUACUAGUUACUUUCUGAAAAGGGUUUUAGGAAUUUUUAUAUUGCUUCAAUAUGCUCACGUGUCUUUCACUUUUUAAUAAUUAAUAUGUUCACAGUUAGAAAUUGUAUUUAGUCUUUAAUAAUGGGAACCUGAGUUUCUCAAUUCCCAAUAUGUGAAAAAAGUGAACAAUCAAGUGAUUAUAUAGUUGUUAAUAAGUUAUAAAUAAUUUUUGAAUUAUUAAAGGUUCAAUCUUUUUGGAUAUAUAUUCUGUUUUAUAAGUUAAUAACAAAUGUAGUUUAAUACUCAAAGUUCGGGACAGACAACAAUAGAAAAGUGUACCAGAAAAUACCUCGAAGUAACACAAAGUAUGCCGCAAAGCAUAUCAUAUACAUUACAUGUAUAUGGUAUAUUCAUAUACAUUUCUGUUUUGCCAAAUGUUUUGUUUUGUUUUUGUAUUCAGAAUUGUUUUAACUGUAAAUAAUACAGGUAAGAGCAGGUUUCAUUAUACGUGCACUGCAACAGGAGAUGCACUGGUCAUGUUUAUAGCUUUAAAUGACUAGAAAAGGGGGAAAGCUCAACACAAUUCAUUCCUGAUCACUUCAGUUUGGUGACUUUAUUUAAAAUUUCACAGAAAUGUUGUGUUUUGUCAUACGUUCGCAAACACUGGUGCACUUCAAGAG